rnacentral:snRNA from 1 species
AUCGCUUCUCGGCCUUUUGGCUAAGAUCAAGUGUAAAUAAUUUUCCCCCACACUAUUUUAAAACAUUUGGUGUUUCAAUUUCUUUGAUCAGAGCUGCUCUUUAUUAGGUCUCAGGUAACAGUAGCUCACACAUUCAUUGAGGAUCUACUAUUUAGUUCUCGCCUGUGUUCCAGAU